rnacentral:rRNA from 1 species
AACGAACGCUGGCGGCGUGCCUAACACAUGCAAGUCGAACGGAGUCAUUUGGAAGUAGCAAUACGGAAGGAUGACUUAGUGGCGGACGGGUGAGUAACACGUAGGUAACCAACCCUCGAGCGGGGGACAACCCAGGGAAACUUGGGCUAAUACCGCAUAAGACCACGGACUGGGAUGUUUGUGGUAAAAGUAGCAAUACACUUGAGGAUGGGCCUGCGGCCUAUCAGGUAGUUGGUAAGGUAAUGGCUUACCAAGCCUAAGACGGGUAGCCGGACUGAGAGGUUGAACGGCCACACUGGAACUGAGACACGGUCCAGACUCCUACGGUGGCAG